UCUUCCCCUCAUACAGCAAGAAGGUGAGACAUGGUUCUGGUGCUGCUAACGUCUUAGUUGAGAGAAAGAGAGAUAUAGACAAGCACUAUAUAUAAUAUUGACUGCUUUUUGUGAAAGGGUCCAUUUGGAAUUUGAUGGUCAUUUUGAGAGAAAGAGGUUGAGAAUCCGUGAGAAACGAGUCUGAGUUGUUUGCUGUUUUGGGUAGAAGGAGCUUGCAUAUUUGUGUGUUUUUGUUUAAGAGGAAGACGAUAAAGACGACAAAGGAAGAAGACGUCGGUGAUUUUUGUAUCUUCUAGGUUGGUCGAGGAGAAUUGAAAGCGUGAAGCGGUGAAGGCAUCGCCAAAAGCUUUGUGAAUGUGAUAUAAUUUGUGUAUUGCACAAGUUAUCUCUCGGAUGAGAGAUCUAUAGUGAGGUUUCUGAAAAAUGGGAUCAUCAGCAUCAGAGGUAUCGAUCAAGGGAAAUCGCAUGGACGGGACGGGGCGAAGCCGCUCCUCUGUUUACAAUAACUAUAACGAGGCUUGGAAUCCUACAGGGUGUCAGAAUGCCCACUCAUCGUCAACUGUCAGAGACUCGGAAGCAGCGCUUUACAAGGAGCUAUGGCAUGCUUGUGCUGGUCCCCUGGUUACAUUGCCCCGUGAACGGGAACGGGUCUUCUAUUUUCCUCAGGGACAUAUUGAGCAAGUGGAGGCGUCCACAAAUCAGGUGGCGGACCAGCAGAUGCCUGUGUACAAUCUUCCAUCGAAAAUCCUUUGUCGAGUGGUCAACGUCCUGUUGAAGGCGGAGCCGGACACCGAUGAGGUGUUUGCCCAGGUAACCUUGCUUCCGGAGCCAAAUCAAGAUGAAAACGCCGUGGAGAAAGAGGCUCCGCCUCCUCCACCACCACGAUUUCAGGUGCAUUCCUUCUGCAAAACUCUGACGGCCUCUGAUACGAGUACUCAUGGUGGAUUUUCAGUGCUGAGACGUCAUGCCGAUGAAUGCCUUCCUCCGCUGGAUAUGUCGAAGCAGCCACCUAACCAGGAGUUGGUGGCGAAGGAUCUACACGGUAACGAGUGGAGAUUCAGGCAUAUUUUUAGAGGUUAUCCACGUAGACAUUUACUGCAAAGUGGUUGGAGUAUUUUUGUUAGCUCUAAGAGGCUUCUUGCUGGUGAUGCAUUUAUAUUUUUGAGGGGUGAGAAUGGGGAACUUCGUGUUGGUGUAAGGCGUGCAAUGAGACAGCAGGGUAAUGUUCCGUCCUCAGUGAUCUCUUGUCACAGCAUGCAUCUUGGUGUCCUUGCAACUGCCUGGCAUGCGGUUACGACUGGGACCAUGUUCACUGUGUAUUACAAGCCCAGGACCAGUCCUGCUGGAUUUAUUGUUCCAUAUGAUCAGUAUAUGGAGUCUCUGAAAAAUAAUUAUACAAUAGGAAUGCGGUUCAAAAUGAGGUUUGAAGGUGAAGAGGCUCCAGAGCAGAGGUUUACUGGUACUGUUAUUGGACUUGAAGAUGCUGAUCCACAAAGGUGGCCAAAAUCCAAAUGGAGAUGCCUCAAGGUGAGAUGGGAUGAAACGUCUAGCAUUCCUCGUCCUGAGAGAGUUUCCCCUUGGAAAAUAGAGCCUGCUCAUGCUCCUCCAGCUCUAAAUCCUCUUACACUGACCAGGCCUAAAAGGCCUCGCUCUAAUGCGGUUCCAUUAUCACCUGAUUCCUCGGUUCUUAAUCGUGAAGUGUCAUCUAAGGUAAGUAUGGACCCUUUGCCGGCUAGUGGAUUUCCAAGGGUAUUGCAAGGUCAAGAAUUCUCGACAUUGAGACGCAAUUUGGCGGAAAGCAAUGAAUCUGAUGCUGCGGGAAAACCUGAUGAAAAAAAUGAUGCAAUGUCUAUUUCAAGUACGUUUGCUCCAGAGAGCUGGACAUCAAUAGGGAGGCAUGAGCCUACAUAUUCAGAUUUGCUUUCAGGCUUUGGGACGAGUAGAGAUCGAACUCGUCUAUCCUUGGUACAUCAAACUAGCCCUGUGGCUGGUCCUGGAAGAAAACAUGUAUUAGGUCACGAAGGGAAGUUUAAUGUGGUAGCCUGCCCAAGGUCUAUAAUGCCUUCUAGUAUAUCAUUAAACCUCUCAGACCCUAACAUGAAAGGUUCUGCACAAGACAGUGAUGUAACUCACCAUUCUAGGCGGAAUGUGGGGUAUGAUGCAUUUGGAGGUUACCCCGUGUUUCAUGGUCACAAAGAAGAGCGUAGUCAUGGAAGCUUGUUGAUGCCCCCACCUCCACCUCCAACUCAGCAUGAUAGUCCUGAUUCAAGAGACCUCAUGCAAAAACCAAUGCCAGCAAGAUCAUUUGAGACUGUUAAAGCUAAAGAAGGGGACUGUAAGCUAUUUGGCAUCUCACUUAUCAGCAGCCCAAGUACACCAGAGCCUUCAAAAAUAAAUGUGGCAUGCAAACCGGCUAGUCACAAGCAUCUCACGUCACAACGGCCUUGUACCAAAGAAAGUGAUUUGAAAUCAGAACAACCAAGUGGAUCAAAGCUGCCAGAUGCUGCAGUUGACACUGAUGACCAUGAAAAGCCAUCACAAACAUUUCAGCCACGUGUGAAAGGUGUUCAAGCCAAACCACGCAGUGAUUCUGCUAGGAGUUGCACUAAAGUUCACAAGAAGGGGAUUGCGCUUGGUAGGUCAGUUGACCUUACAAAGUUCAGCAACUAUGAUGAGCUAAUUGUUGAAUUAGAUGAACUGUUUGAAUUUGGAGGGGAAUUAAGGUCUUUGAAAAAGGAUUGGCUUAUUGUCUACACCGACAAUGAGGGUGACAUGAUGCUUGUGGGGGAUGAUCCGUGGCCGGAGUUUUGUGCCAUGGUUCGUAAAAUAUGUAUCUACCCCAAAGAGGAAAUUCAGAAAAUGAACCCGGGAACAAUAAGGUUUGGGGGUGAGGAGAGUCUGUCGGCUAGCGAAGGCAUGGAUGCUAAAGAAGUAUAAUUUCAUCUUCGUGAUGAUUCAAUUUGAUACCAUAGCAUCCAGCUCCGCUUUAGAGAAGCAGGAUGUUCUAUAAGGCUUCCAGUUGGGAAUUAUGACGAAGACAAAUUUUGAUUCCUAACUGCUGAUGAAGUGACUCGAAGCAUAACAUGGCUGGUACGCGUCAGCGUCUAUACAAUUUUGGACCUACCCCGGAACAAGAGGCAUAUGUUAUGGCGUGGGGUCAAGCGAUGAAGCCCGUGUCUCCAAACUCCAUCUUCCAGGGUAAUUAUUAGCAGAAAUAAGCACUUGAUCGACGCUGGAAUGGCUGGCAGUGGACCUCGUUAUUGCUUGAGGUGAGUCAUUUCUGGCGGCCACGUUCUGCCCCUUGCUUCGAAUGGAAGAUAACAAAAGGAUGGAGGGAGAGUAACAGAAGAUGACUGAAUAAAAUCCUCGCGCGUGGUAUAGAUCUUGUAUCAGGCAUUGCAUCUUUAGGACGAGUCAGCAUCCCGUCAAAACUCUGUUUACUAGCACUGAUAGAAUCCAUCAGAAUUUUCCAAACAGUGAAAGUGAACUGGGGUUAAAGAGCACCAUUGAUGGCACAUUUGAAUCGUGGGCAUGAUAAUCUGAAUACAAUUUGAAGAUGAGAUGGACAACGUAGAACCAGAAACAAAUUUGUAAUAGCAUAUAGGUAAAGUAAAUUGUGCUGUCUAUGAUUUAUAAAUUAUAAGUAGUAUUCUUUUUGUUCUUAA